GAACGCACAUUGCGCCCGCCCGUAUUCUGGCGGGCAUGCCUGUUCGAGCGUCAUUUCAACCAUCAAGCCCCCGGCUUGUGUUGGGGCCCUGCGGCUGCCGCAGGCCCUUAAAAACAGUGGCGGGCUCGCUGUCACACCGAGCGUAGUAAUACAUCUCGCUUUGGACGUGCAGCGGGUUCUUGCCGUGAAACACCCCCCUUCUCAAGGUUGACCUCGGAUCAGGUAGGAAUACCCGCUGAACUUAAG
rnacentral:misc_RNA from 1 species